AUGGCCACCAGUAGCCUCGGCCUCUCCACCUCCUUCCUCCCCGGCCACGACACCCGCCUCCGCCGGCGCCGCCGGGCGGCCCCCGCCGCGGCGUCGUCGUUCCGGCCGGUGGUGGCGUCGGCGGAGCUCGGGGCCGAGGUGGGGCGGCAGCUGGUGGAGGCGGUGGGGGUGGGCCUGCCCUGCACCGUCAUGGCCUGCGGCGACGUCAUCUACCGCAGCACGCUGCCCCACAACGACGGCCUCACCAUCACCGCCCCCGGGGUCGCGCUCGCGCUCGCCGCCGCCUCCUACCUCUGGGCCACCCCCGGCGUCGCCCCGGGCUUCUUCGACAUGUUCGUCCUCGCCUUCGCCGAGCGCCUCUUCCGCCCCACCUUCCGCAAGGACGACUUCGUGCCCGGGAAGAAGCUCGGGGAGGGCGCGUUCGGGGUCGUGUACAAGGCGUCCCUGGCCGACCCCAAAGCCGCGGAGAAGCAAGGUGAUGUGGUCGUGAAGAAGGCGACAGAGUAUGGCGCGGUAGAGAUCUGGAUGAAUGAGCGUGUAAGGAGGGCAUGCGCUAGCAGCUGCGCGGAUUUUCUUUACGGCUUUCGUGAGAGCAAAACCAAAGGUAAGGGUGAGGAAUACUGGCUUAUUUGGCGCUAUGAAGGCGAGGACACGCUUUCUGCUCUCAUGCAAAGCAAGGAGUUCCCUUACAAUGUUGAGACUAAGAUUCUCGGAAAUGUUCAAGAUUUGCCCAAGGGAAUAGCGAGAGAGAAUAAGAUUGUCCAAACGGUGAUGGGACAACUCUUGUUUGCUCUAGAUGGACUUCAUUCGACAGGGAUUGUUCACAGGGACAUAAAACCCCAAAAUGUGAUAUUUUCAGAAGAAUCCCGUACCUUCAAAAUUAUUGAUCUUGGAGCAGCAGCUGAUUUACGAGUGGGCAUCAACUAUAUUCCUAAGGAGUUCCUUUUGGAUCCAAGGUAUGCUGCUCCGGAGCAAUAUAUCAUGAGCACACAAACACCAUCUGCUCCCUCUGCUCCAGUUGCAACUGCUCUAUCUCCAGUCCUGUGGCAGCUGAACCUUCCUGACAGAUUUGACAUAUACAGCUUGGGCCUCAUAUACCUGCAGAUGGCAUUUCCAGCGUUGAGAACGGACAGCAGCCUGAUACAAUUCAACCGCCAACUGAAGAGAUGCAACUACGACCUGGAAGCCUGGAGGAACUUGGUGGAACCACGAGCCACCCCAGACCUCCGCAGGGGCUUUGACAUCCUGGACUUAGAUGGUGGUAUCGGAUGGGAGCUCCUGACAUCCAUGGUACGGUACAAAGCGCGGCAAAGGACCAGCGCCAAGGCCGCACUGGCGCAUCCCUACUUCAACAGCGAAGGGCUCCUCGGCCUCUCAGUCAUGCAGAACCUGAGGCUGCAGCUGUUCCGCGCGACCCAGAAGGACUACAGCGAGGCGGCACGAUGGAUCAUUGGCCUGAUGGCCAAAUCGGGAACGGAGGAGGGGGGAGGCUUCACGGAAGCACAGCUCCAAGAGCUCAGGGAGAUCAAGCCGAAGAAGGACAGCGCGCAGCAGAACAUGCUGGCGUCGAUGCUGCGGGUGCAGAGGAAGAUCGUGAGGACGAUCAGCGAGAGCAUGGACGAGCUUACGAGCCAGCGCAAGAGCAUCUGGUGGAGCCGGUGGAUCCCCAGGGAGGAGUAG
rnacentral:rRNA from 1 species